AUUCCAGCUCCAAUAGCGUAUAUUAAAGUUGUUGCGGUUAAAAAGCUCGUAGUUGGAUUUCUGUUGAGGAAGUCCGGUCCGCACUUUGUGCGUGAUCUGGUUCUGCCUCGGCAUCCUCGCGGGGAACGCGCUGCGCUUGAUUGCGUGGUGCGGUAUUCGCGACUUUUACUUUGAGGAAAUUAGAGUGUUCACGGCAGGCUAUCGCCUUGAAUACGUUAGCAUGGAAUAAUAAUAUAGGACCUUGGUUCUAUUUUGUUGGUUUCUAGAACUAAGGUAAUGAUUAAUAGGGAUAAUUGGGGGCAUUUGUAUUAACACGUCAGAGGUGAAAUUCUUGGAUUGUGUUACGACUAACUACUGCGAAAGCAUUUGCCAAGGAUGUUUUCAUUG
rnacentral:rRNA from 1 species